rnacentral:rRNA from 1 species
CCUACGGGUGGCAGCAGUGGGGAAUAUUGCACAAUGGGGGAAACCCUGAUGCAGCGACGCCGCGUGAGUGAAGAAGUAUUUCGGUACGUAAAGCUCUAUCAGCAGGGCAGAAAAUGACGGUACCUGACUACGACGCCCCGGCUAACUACGUGCCAGCAGCCGCGGUAAUACGUAGGGGGCAAGCGUUAUCCGGAUUAACUGGGGGUAAAGGGGGCGUAGGUGGCAUGGUAAGCCAGAAGUGAAAACCCAGGGCUCAACUCUGUGGAUUGCUUUUGGAACUAUCAAGCUAGAGUGCUGGAGGGGUAAGCGGAAUUCCUAGUGUAGCGGUGAAAGGCGUAGAUAUUAGGAGGAACACCGGUGGCGAAGGCGGCUUACUGGACAGAAACUGACACUGAGGCUCGAAAGCGUGGGGAGCAAACAGGAUUAGAUACCCGGGUAGUC